CCAUAAUAAUAAUAAUAAUAAUAAAGGAAACACUAAGUUACAGAAAUUUGGAAGGGUAAAGGAAUAGGAAAAAAGAACAAGAAGAAGAACAUGAGAGGUAGGUUACACAAGCGAUAAAAUUUUAUAAACAUAUGAUGACUUCUUUUAUUUUAUGAUCGAUUAUUGUAUCGAAAUAGAAAGUCAUUCAUGACUUCGUUUAUUACUUUUACAAAGCACAAAAGACGAAGAAAUGAGAAAAAGACAAAGAAAAACGCUAAAAUCACAACAACACUCUAAUGCAUAUAAUAGGAAUUUGUAGUUGAGUUUUUGCCAUUCCUCACUACCGCACCUCACACACGUGGCCACCAUAUAGCGCCGAGUAUCUACAAGCACAACAAAUCCAACAAUCACUGCAAUCACUGUCCGAAAUACAAGAUCUAAUACAAGUAUUCAGUUGUGGAAGUAAUCUCUUCGAGAUUCCUAAAAGAACAUGAUCAACAUCUGGUGUAGCUAUGACUUGUUUCUUUGAGAAUCCCGGUACAUUAACUGAAAAGUUUCACCAUCAUAAUUAUUAGAAUCAAAUUAUAACCAUCAGCAUAAUAUGAAAUAUUCACAUUUAAACAUCAUAUAAUGAAACAUAUGGGUACUUAUUAAUGGAUUCAUAUGAAAUAUGCACAAAUUCAAAUAUGUGUAUAUACAUAUUAACAAACACAAUAUAAUUACAAGUGUAAUAUAAAGAUAAAUAAAGAUGAAUACAAACUAGUGGUUACCAUGAUAAAAAUAACAAUAGUGAAACUACUUUGCGACCAAGGGAAUAUUCACUGAAGUAUUUCACCAUUAUAAAUAUCAAUAUCAAAUAAUCAUCAUCGUAAUAUUAAAAUUCACAUUUAAACAUCAUAUAAUGAAACAAAUGCAUGCACAUUAUGGAUUGAAAUGAAGUAUGUACAAAAAGUCAUCUAUAUACCUAUAUACAUAUUAACAAAAUACAUAAUGUAGAAGUAUAAUGUAGAGAAAUAUAGAGAUAGAUACUAACUAGUGACUGCAAUGAUAAGAAUAGUGAUAACGAAACUAAGCUUAAACAUCGUCAUGCUAGGAUUAAUACUUCAGCUUUAUGAUGUUUUUGUACGAGUAUCUCAUUGCUCUUAAAAGGUCGUAAUUUAUAGGCCUCUCGAUAAGUAAACUACCUCUCAAGCAU
rnacentral:lncRNA from 1 species